AUAGAACGCUAGCGGGAUGCUUUACACAUGCAAGUCGAACGAGUGGCGGACGGGUGAGUAAUAUAUCGGAACGUGCCCAGUAGAGGGGGAUAACUACUCGAAAGAGUGGCUAAUCCCGCAUACUAUUGGAGCGGCCGAUAUCGGAUUAGCUAGUUGGUGGGGUAAAGGCUCACCAAGGCAACGAUCCGUAGCUGGUUUGAGAGGACGACAAGCCAAACUGGAACUGAGACACGGCCCAGACGCCUACGGGAGGCAGCAGUGGGGAAUAUUGGACAAUGGGGGAAACCCUGAUGCAGCCAUCCCGCGUGUAUGAGAAGGCCUUCGGGUUGUAAAGUACUUUUGGCAGAGAAGCGGUAUCUGCAGAAUAAGCACCGGCUAACUACGUGCCAGCCGCCGCGGUAAUUC
rnacentral:rRNA from 1 species